UUUCCACAAACUUGUUGGAUAGUCCGAGUAUUAAUUUGGAGCCAUCCGGCUUACUGCCUAACAUGAACAAAUGAUCUAGAAUUGAUUGGUCUGAGAUGUGAAAUCUAGAAGCUCAGCCCUAUUAAGUGGCUAAGCUUGAGUGGAUGAUCUAUAAGUCAACAAAUAGGACUUGACAAUUCAUACUUCUUUGUUGAAUGUGGUAAGUCAAAUGUGUGGAGCUUCAACUUGAAAACAACAAGAGGAUUACGGUGGAGAUGGUACUAGUUGGCAUGUCCAGUAGCUUCUUGGACCUUAUAUGGAUUGGUUGUUUCACAAUUUGGAGAUAUAAAGGAAAUAUUUGAAGAUCUUAAUGAAAAAUUGGAAGAUUUUUUUGAGAAGUUAUUUUGGAUUCAGGCUUGAUUUUCUGGAAGUGGUGGCAAUUGUAGUUACGUAAGAAGAACUCUACCUCUUCUUUUUAUGGUUAAAUGUGGUGAAAAUUAAAACAAAAAUUUUGUAUGCAAUAAAAAGUAGGUGGUUCAGUGGUUGUGUUCAAUGAUUAGUCUCAAUUUGCAGUAAUUUAUGGUGUCUUCUAUUUGUAGCAAAGAAAUGUGGUGAAAACUCAGCUAUAAGUUCAUGUUGUGUAUUGGCUUUUAUAAAUUUUGUAUGAGUUAUUUUCCUC